GCGCGCACGCACACACACACACACACUCUAUCUCUCACACACACACAUACCCUAUCUCUCUCUCACAUACACACACUCUCUCUCUCUCUCUCUCACAUACACACACUCUCUCUCACACAUACUCUCUCACACACACAUUCAAACACACCCACACUCACACUCAUCUCCACCAAAGGCUUUGAGCAGAACUGACAAAAGGACCUCUAAAUAAUGUUUGGAAUUAAGGGAGAGGAGGCAGCUGUGUGCUGGAGGCUGUGGAGUCCCUGCUAUUGAACCAGUCCUGGCUGGACCUGGCUCCUGGUCUUGGCAGGUCUCCUUACAGGUGAGGCUGCGGGCUGGUAGGAUGGGAAAUGCCCCUGUCCCCCUCCCCAGGAAAGGGGUAGAAGGCCCUGAGUGUUUGGCCCAGGAAGGGAAGGCAUACAAAGGUCUCCUGGCACCUGGGCCUGAUGGAAGGGGCUGGAGAGGAUAGAGGGACAGGGUUCUGUUGAAGGUGUGACAGGAAUGGAACCAGGUAUGGAGCCUCAGCGGCUCCGAUAUCCAACAGGACUAGAUUUAGGCCCAGCUAGACUAAGAUCUCAGGACCUAUGGCCAGAAGAGACCUGGAGCUCAUCUACUCCAACCCAACCAGUCCAUCAAUAAGCAUUUAUUAAGAACCUACUGUGUGCCAGGCACUGUGCUAAGAGUUGGAGACACAAAGCAAGGCCAAAACAUCAUUCCUGCCUUUAAGGUUACAUUCUAAUGGGAGAAACAACACGUGAAUAACUACAAAUGUGCCUGUUUCACAGAGGAAGAAACCAAAACAGGUUAAGGGACUUGCCUAAGUCACACCAGCCAUAAGCAGCACAGUCAGGACUCAAUCCAAGUUCUCCUACUGUGUGCAUUUGCCCAGCCUAUAAGAGGCUGAGAAUUGGCUGAGGCUGGUUCUUAUGGGGAAACAGAAACACCAGGCAGGGCAGCUCUCUUCCAGAUGCCCAUUUCUCUUCUUCCUCCUCUCCUCUUCCUCCUCUUGUUGGGUGGGCCCUUGAGGGGAGGGUUGCCCCUUGAGGGGAGGGUUGCCCCAUCUAUUCUUUCUCUCCCCCAGCUUACUGAUGGCUUCUAUUUUUGUGGAGGGUCCCUCAUCAGCCAGGAUUGGGUGAUCACUGCUGCCUACUGCAAAGUCAAGUGAUUCCAGUGGGCCCCUGGUCUGCUAAAAGGUGGGCCCGUGGACCUUGAUGGGCAUAGCCUUCUGGGACAGUGACGAUCGUGUCCGUUCUAAGCCAGUGGUAUGCACCCAUGUCACUGAAUUCCUCACCUGGGUUGAGGAAAUCUUGGAAAGCCGGCUGAGCCCCCAAGGGCAGGGGUAGCCCCACCCAUCCCCUUGAAAUCUCAAUAAAGCCCACUGGAUGGCAGCA
rnacentral:lncRNA from 1 species